rnacentral:lncRNA from 1 species
CUCCGCCCGCAGCUCGAGCCUCCGCCAGGCGCGCGCGCGCGCGCACGAGCGCCGGAGCGCCCCGGCGGCUUUGGCACCGCGCAGUCGCGGCUGUCUCCUUCCUCACGGCUCCGCUGCUCUCCCUGCCCCCUUUUUCUCCUCCGCUUCUGAAGCUGGUCCCGAGCGCCGCGGACCCCGUCGCGGUGCAUCGGGUUAGCCGAGGAGGACCGCCGACGGAGGGAGGCGUAAGGACGUCCAGGGAGCACGCGAUCGGGAGCAGCCUGACGAGGUGGCCAGGAUUGAGGAGCAGUGAGUCCCUCCGCGCCGCCUCCAGCAGCAGGCAGCUUCUGAAGGGGCGCGUAGGAGAGGGUCGCUCGGGGUCGGGAGUUCCCUGUUACAGGUUGCCUGACAACCCAGUGUUAUCGCUCUCUGGAACCCUUCUCUUAGGAAGUACUGGGAAUCGAACCAGGGAUCUAGUAUAUGCGAGGCAGAGGUUCCCACACUGAGCACACCCACUCCACAGGUUAAGCAGACCUCUGAAAGCUUAUCUGGAUCUCCCUGCACACUUUCCCUCAGGUGAGUAGGGCUUCUCUAACAGUUGGCGCGCUCUCUCUCCUGGCUUCCUUCUCUCCGACACAACUUUUUUUUAAGAUAAUACGGGGGAUCGAACCUGGGACCUCAUAUGCUACUGAGCUACUCUCUGGGCUACUUAGGCCCCUGUCUUUGCCUACCCACUAGCUGACCUAGUCCUUUUCUCUUCCAGGACAUGACACCUUGCCUAAUCCUAUUCCCCUCUCCUCUCCCUGGGCCUGCUUCAGUGCUGGCUAGGGUCUUUUUUUUUUUUGAGAUGAAAGGGGUUGAGGACAUUAUUUUAAGUGAAAUAAGCCAGACACGAAAGAACAAAUAUUGAUCUCACUGAUAUGAACUAAUUAUAAUAAGCAACUCAUAGAGUUGGAAUCUAGAAUACAGGUUACCAGGGGAUAGAAUGGAGAGCUGAUGCUUAGUUUGUAUGGAAUUUCUAUUUGGGUGUAGAGGUUUGGAAAUGGAUGGUGGUAGUGGUGGCACAUUAUUGUGAGUGUAAUUAACAGUACUGAAUUAUAUAGGUGAGUGUGGGUAAAAGGGCAAAUUUUAGGUUCUAUGUGUUACAAGAAUAAAAAUUAAAAGAUAGACCAGGACUGUAUAACACAGUGAACCCUAUUAAAGACAAUGAAAUAUAGCUAAUAGUACAAGAAUGUUUUUUCAUUAAUUAUAACAAAUAUACGAUACUAAUACAAGGUUUUAGUAAUAAAGUGGUAUAUAGGAAAAAUACACAAUGUAAACUAUUGAUGAUACUUAAUAGUACAACUCUAAUAAUCUUUCAUCAAGUUAACAAAGGUAAAACUACUGUUAAAAAAUAGUACAAUUAUA